UGUUCUGUGGCUUAGUUGGUCAAAGCGAAGGUCUAGCGAAGUCGUGAGUUCGAAUCCCACAAGAACGC
rnacentral:tRNA from 1 species